GAAUCGCUAGUAAUCGUGGAUCAGAAUGUCACGGUGAAUACGUUCCCGGGCCUUGUACACACCGCCCGUCACACCAUGGGAGUGGACUGCACCAGAAGUGGUUAGCUUAACCUUCGGGAAAGCGAUCACCACGGUGUGGUUCAUGACUGGGGUGAAGUCGUAACAAGGUAGCCGUAGGGGAACCUGCGGCUGGAUCACCUCC
rnacentral:rRNA from 1 species